GGUGGAUCCUGGAAGAGUCUUGACAGCUGCAAGGAGAUAAUUAGGAAAAUCUCACAUCUGCUAAACUCUCCCAGCUAACCCCUUCCUCAUCACCUGAUACAACGAAUGCAGCUAGAACAAGCUCUCUUCUCCAGAACCAUGCCAGAGAUGACAGAGAAUGAGACACCUACUAAGAAGCAACAUCGGUGAGUUUCUGGGGGAAAAUGACUGUUU
rnacentral:lncRNA from 1 species